rnacentral:lncRNA from 1 species
UCACAAUCUGAUUGAGAAAUGGUUCAUCGUUAUUGCAUAAAAUAAGAGAAGACACUUCAAAAUGAUGAUUUAUUUAUUUAUUUUUAUUAUACUUUAAGUUCUAGGGUACAUGUGCACAACGUGCAGGUUUGUUACAUAUGUAUACAUGUGCCACGUUGGUGUGCUGCACCCAUUAAUUCGUUAUUUACAUUAGGUAUAUAUUUUUUGCUCACCUUAUGAGGCACCCCGUUAUCAAGGUUUUUCACCUUUCCAAUUUGCUUCAAAUGCCGAAUGACAAUAGAAUGAUCGACUUUGAGUUCUUCAGCAACUUCUCAUGCAGUUGUAAGAGGAUCGUUGUAAGAGGAUCAGCUUUGAUGAUUGCUCUUAAUUGGUCGUUGGCAACUUCUGCUGGCCAGCCACUAUGCUCCUCAUCUUCAAAGUUCUCAUCGCCUUUGCAAAACUUCUUGAACUACCACUACACUUAAAAUGCAAAAGGAUGCAAUUAUGAUGGGAGUAAAGAGAAAUUUGAAGAUGUACAUUUUGAAGACAGAGAAAAUUGCCACAAGCCAAAAAAUAAGGACCGCACAUACAAACUGAAAAAGGCAAGGAAACAAAUUUUCUCCUCAGAACCUCCCGGAGGAACCAGCCCUGACAACACUUCGACUUUAGCUCACUGUGACUACUUAUGGACUUCUGACCACCAGAACUGAUAAAGAGUAAACUUAUACUGUUAAAGAAGAUACAUUUGUGGUAAUUUGUUAUAGUAACAAUAAGAAAUGUGUGUGUGUAUCUAUAGGAAUACUAUUUAUGUAAAAACACAUUUAUAUGAUGCUUAUUAUAGCC